CUCCUCACUAUGUGGGCAGGGGAAGCCGUCAUUUCGGAGCACCAAAGCCGUCACAGGGGAUAACUGCUUUUGUUGAUAGACAAAGAGGCAUCGAUAUUUCCAGAUCGCCCAGCAAAUAAAGCUAAUCAAGCCAUUCUCGCAGGAUAUUUUGCAUGGAGAACAGUUUCUUCUUAUCCAGAAACUGAUAACAUCUUACAGCAGGCUUCUACCGAUGAGAGUGUAUCAUCAAGAACAGAUGAAGGAUAUAAUUUCAGAAUGAUGAUGCAGACUGGCUUCUGGGUAUUCACUGACAUGGGCGAGUGGGAGAUACUAGUGGAGGAAUAUCCACAAGAUGAAAGAAGAGAAAGUAACAAGCUGCUAAUUCUCACUUCUUGUUUUCUUUCUUUUAAUCAACGGAUGCAAAUCUUCUGGAAUUCUUCGUUUCCUGAUUCUACUUGUUUAGAAAGGAAGCCAAUGGACUUCUACUUCCAUGAAAACAGGCCUUAUGUAUUGGAAGACUGAACUUUUGCACAUAACAAUACUUACAGCAGCCAGUUGAUGCAGAUU